rnacentral:rRNA from 1 species
UACCGCGAAACUGCGAAUGGCUCAUUAUAUAAGUUAUCGUUUACUUGAUAGCACCUUACUACUUGGAUAACCGUGGUAAUUCUAGAGCUAAUACAUGCUAAAAAUCCCGACUUCGGAAGGGAUGUAUUUAUUAGAUUAAAAACCAAUGCCCUCUGGGCUAGCUGGUGAAUCAUGAUAACUUCUCGAAUCGCAGGGCCUUGCGCCGGCGAUGGUUCAUUCAAAUUUCUUCCCUAUCAACUUUCGAUGCGAAGGUAUUGUCUUCGCAUGGUUACAACGGGUAACGGAGGGUUAGGGCUCGACCCCGGAGAUGGAGCCUGAGAAACGGCUGCAAAUUCCAAGGAAGGCAGCAGGCGCGCAAAUUACCCAAUCCCGAUACGGGGAGGUAGUGACAAUAAAUACUGAUAUAGGGCUCUUUUGGGUCUUAUAAUUGGAAUGAGUACAAUUUAAAUCCCUUAACGAGGAACAAUUGGAGGGCAAGUCUGGUGCCAGCAGCCGCGGUAAUUCCAGCUCCAAUAGCGUAUAUUAAAGUUGUUGUGGUUAAAAAGCUCGUAGUUGAACCUUGGGCCUGGUUGGCCGGUCCCCCUCACCGGGUGUACUGAUCCAGCCGGGUCUUUCCCUCUGUGGAACCCCAUGGCCUUUACUGGUCGUGGUGGGGAAACAGGACUUUUACUUUGAAAAAAUUAGAGUGCUCCAGGCAGGCCUUUGCUCGAAUACAUUAGCAUGGAAUAAUAGAAUAGGACGCGUGGUUCUAUUUUGUUGGUUUCUAGGACCGCCGUAAUGAUUAAUAGGGACAGUCGGGGGCAUCAGUAUUCAAUUGUCAGAGGUGAAAUUCUUGGAUCUAUUGAAGACUAACUACUGCGAAAGCAUUUGCCAAGGAUGUUUUCAUUGAUAAGGAACGAAAGUUAGGGGAUCGAAGACGAUCAGAUACCGUCGUAGUCUUAACUAUAAACUAUGCCGACUAGGGAUCGGACGAUGUUAUUUUUUGACUCGUUCGGCACCUUUCGAGAAAUCAAAGUGCUUG